GUGGGGAAUAUUGCACAAUGGGGGAAACCCUGAUGCAGCAACGCCGCGUGGAGGAUGACGCAUUUCGGUGUGUAAACUCCUUUUAUAAGGGAAGAUAAUGACGGUACCUUAUGAAUAAGCACCGGCUAACUCCGUGCCAGCAGCCGCGGUAAUACGGAGGGUGCAAGCGUUACUCGGAAUCACUGGGCGUAAAGGAUGCGUAGGCUGUAAUAUAAGUCAGAAGUGAACUCCAACGGCUUAACCGUUGAUCUGCUUUUGAAACUGUUUUACUAGAAUAUGGGAGAGGUAGAUGGAAUUGGUGGUGUAUGGGUAAAAUCCGUAGAUAUCACCAGGAAUACCGAUUGCGAAGGCGAUCUACUGGAACAUUAUUGACGCUGAGGCAUGAAAGCGUGGGGAGCAAACAGGAUUAGAAACCCCAGUAGUCC
rnacentral:rRNA from 1 species